rnacentral:snRNA from 1 species
AUACUUACCUGGUAGGGGAGAUACCAUGAUCUCAAAGGUGGUUUCCCAGGGUGAGGCUUAUCCACUACACUCCAGAUGUGCUGAAUAUAAAUAAAUAAUUACACAAAUAU